UGAUGUUGAAAGCAUCAUCACCUCAGGAAAAAUUAAGCAGCAGAGUGUUGAUCCUGAAGUCCAUAGCAGUCACUGGUGAAGAUGAAAACGUCCCUUAGAGCUAGUCACAGUGUUCAUGCUUCUUGCUGAUAUUUUUAGAAUAGGUAAAAAGUAUAAAUUGUAAACAGUUCAUAAAAUUAUGAUAAGCUGCAGAAUAAUAAAAGGCAAACAUUAC
rnacentral:lncRNA from 1 species